rnacentral:rRNA from 1 species
AUUGAACGCUGGCGGCAUGCUUUACACAUGCAAGUCGAACGAGUGGCGACCGGUGGAGUAAUAUAUCGGAACUUCCCGAGUAAUGGGGGAUAACCCAUCGAAAGGUUGGCUAUUACCGCAUACAAUGCGAGCGGCCGAUAACUGAUAAGCUAGUGGGGGGGGUAAAGGCCUACCAAGGGGACGAUCAGUAGCGGGUCUGAGAGGACGAUCCGCCACACUGGGACGGAGACACGGCCCAGACUCCUACGGGAGGCAGCAGUGGGGAAUUUUGGACAAUGGGGGCAACCCUGAUCCAGCCAUGCCGCGUGUAUGAAGAAGGCCUUCGGGUUGUAAAGUACUUUUGUUAGGGAAGCGGUACCUAAAGAAUAAGCACCGGCUAACUACGUGCCAGCAGCCGCGGUAAUAC